UACGGGGGGGGGCAAGCGUUGUUCGGAAUUACUGGGCGUAAAGGGCACGUAGGUGGUACGGCAAGUGGUGUGUGACAGCAGCCGGCUUAACCGGUUGACGCCACGCCAAACUGCCGCACUCGAGGGAUGCAGAGGUUGGUGGAAUUGCCGGUGUAGCAGUGAAAUGCGUAGAUAACCGGCAGGAACACCGCAGGGGAAGC
rnacentral:rRNA from 1 species